GAUGAACGCUGGCGGCGUGCUUAACACAUGCAAGUCGAACGAGGUCCAACCUUCGGGUGAAGACCUAGUGGCGAACGGGUGAGUAACACGUGGGGAACCUGCCCUUCUCUCUGGGAUAACGUCGAGAAAUCGGUGCUAAUACCGGAUACUCCUUGCGGACCGCAUGGUCUGCUCGGGAAAGCUCCGGCGGAGAUGGGAUGGCCCCCGCGGCCCAUUAGCUAGUUGGUGAGGUAACGGCCCACCAAGGCGACGAUGGGUAGCCGAGCUGAGAGGCUGAUCGGCCACACUGGGACUGAGACACGGCCCAGACUCCUACGGGUGGCUG
rnacentral:rRNA from 1 species